rnacentral:rRNA from 1 species
AUUGAACGCUGGCGGCGUGCUUAACACAUGCAAGUCGAACGAAGUGGCGGACGGGUGAGUAACGCGUAAUCAACCUGCCCUUCAGAGGGGGACAACAGUUGGAAACGACUGCUAAUACCGCAUACUGAAGGUGGGGUUUGCGUCGGAUUAGCUAGUGGGGGGGGUAACGGGCCACCAAGGCGAAGAGCAGGAGCCCGGCCGAGAGGGUGAACGGCCACAUUGGGACUUGGAAAAGGGCCAGACUCCUACGGGAAGCAGCAGGGGGGAAUCUUCCGCAAUGGACGAAAGUCUGACGGAGCAACGCCGCGGGAGUGAUGACGGCCUUCGGGUUGUAAAGCUCUGUUAAUCGGGACGCGGUACCGGAAGAGAAAGCCACGGCUAACUACGUGCCAGCCGCCGCGGUAAUUC